rnacentral:rRNA from 1 species
GUGGGGAAUUUUGGACAAUGGGCGCAAGCCUGAUCCAGCAAUGCCGCGUGUGUGAAGAAGGCCUUCGGGUUGUAAAGCACUUUUGUCCGGAAAGAAAUCUCCUGGGUUAAUACCUCGGGGGGAUGACGGUACCGGAAGAAUAAGCACCGGCUAACUACGUGCCAGCAGCCGCGGUAAUACGUAGGGUGCGAGCGUUAAUCGGAAUUACUGGGCGUAAAGCGUGCGCAGGCGGCUAUGCAAGACAGAUGUGAAAUCCCCGGGCUCAACCUGGUAAAUGCAUUUGUGACUGCAUGGCUAGAGUGCGUCAGAGGGAGGUGGAAUUCCGCGUGUAGCAGUGAAAUGCGUAGAGAUGCGGAGGAACACCGAUGGCGAAGGCAGCCUCCUGGGAUGACACUGACGCUCAUGCACGAAAGCGUGGGGAGCAAACAGGAUUAGAAACCCUGGUAGUCC